AAUUUGGGACAAUGGGGGAAACCCUGAUCCAGCCAUCCCGCGAGUAUGAUGAAGGACUNAGGGUUNUNAAGUACUUUUGGCAGAGNCGAAAAGGUAUCUCCUAAUACGAGAUACUGCUGACGGUAUCUGCAGAAUAAGUACCGGCAAACUACGUUCCAGCAGCCGCGGUAAUACGUAGGGUGCAAGCGUUAAUCGGAAAUACUGGGCGUAAAGCGUGUGUAGGCGGUUCGGAAAGAAGGAUGUUAUAUCCCAGGGCUCAACCUUGGAACUGCAUUUUUAACUGCCGAGCUAGAGUAUGUCAGAGGGGGGUAGAAUUCCACGUGUAGCAGUGAAAUGCGUAGAUAUGUGGAGGAAUACCGAUGGCGAAGGCAGCCCCCUGGGAUAAUACUGACGCUCAGACACGAAAGCGUGGGGAGCAAACA
rnacentral:rRNA from 1 species